UCCUGUUUUUCUUACCUCCAUCUCUCCUUUCUCUCUCUGUUUCUCUCAGCUGUGCCUGAAUUUGUAUAGAAGACUUGUAUAUCAUGACAUAGUAUGCAUAUUGUUGAUUAUCCUUUAUUCUUCCUUCCCCAUUUACAUAGGCUACUGUUUGUAAUUAUAGUAAUGUUCAUUUGAAUGAUUUGUGCCUUGGCUGAUUCAAUACAAGACAAUUAAGACUUUGCUUUUUAGCUGUUACAAUUCCAAUGACACAGUGCAUGUUCAAGAAUGCAUGAAAGAAAGAACACAAACUGUAAACAUUAUUGUUAGAUCUAUAUAGUAUUUAUUUUUAAAAUAUUUUUGUUUGAACUAUUUAUCCACUGUGC